GCAACCUGGGCAUGUGCCCUGAGAAUCAAACGGUGACCUGGUUCUUAGGACAUCCAGUCAGAGCCAUGCGAGCUGGGCUCAACCCACUUUUAUCAUCACUAUUUUAUGAAGUGGGGAGAGACCUGCCAAGGCCACCCCACUGCACUCGAGCAAUUGUUAAAAGCCCAUUGUCAGUCCAACAAAACCUGCAGAAAAGGAAACCAACCUUUGUAGGUGGGCAAGGGGCUGCCCUGGGGACAUGCUCGGCUCUCCUGGCACCCUCAUCUCCAGGAGGCUGUGUCUUGCAGCUCCAUGAACUUGGGGUGUGUGUGUGUGUGUGUAUUGGGGCAUGGGAGGGUCCCCUGAAACUGAACCCAAGCCCUGGUCUCUACAGUCUCUAUGAUUUUAGUCACUGCCCACAUGCUGGGCCCAGGAUCAGCUGCUGGCUCCUGACUCCCCAUGGCUACUCUCAUCCUCCAUGUGGAUCCAGCGCCAGCCCAGAGACCAGAGUGCCACUCUUGAUCCCCUCCAUUGCCUCACCUAGUCAGACCCCCAAUUCCUCUCUGUCCACUUGUAUCAUUACCAGUGCCAAGACCACCUCCCUGGUCUCCCCACCUCUAGGCUGGCCCCACCAGUCUUUCCCAAAGUCAAGUCUGAUCAUGGCACUACCCUGCUCAGAAAUACCAUAUGGCUCCCCACUGCCCUCCCUGUGAGCCUAGAUACCUCCCAAGGACCCUUUUCUUACUCCCCUAGUUGCCCACAACUCAUGGGCCCCCUCACCAGGCCACCACCCUUCUUCCUGGCUGACUCCCCUAACCUAUUCCUUCUCUCCUCAGACUGAGUUGAGGGCCCACUCUGGACUUCCUUGGCACCCUGUGGGUGCCCCAUCACAGCGCCUACCACCUCAGGGCAGGGCUUCCUCACAGCAUCACUGAUAUUCAAGGUCAGAUGAGUCUUUGGGGGCCAUCCUGGGCACUGUAGAUAAUGAGCAGCAUCUCUGCCUCCACCCCCAAAUGCCAGUAGCACCCCUUAUUUCCCAGUCAUGACAACCACAUGUCUCCAGGUGCUGCCAAAUGUCCUCUGGGGACAUAAUCACACUAGUUUGAGAACUUCCUUCGGGGUUGGUAUGAACACCCUGUGGCUGUCUCAGUUCUGGAGUCAGAGCCUAACCAGGGUCUCACUGGGCUAAAAUCCAGGUGGUAGCAGGCCUGGCUCCUGGAGGCUCCAGAAUCCAUUUCCUGGCCUUUUCCAGCUUCUAGAGGCUGCUGCAUUGCUUGGUCCUUUGGGCCCUUUUUCCAUCUUCACAGCCAGCAGUCUUCCUCUCUCACAUCUGUCUCCCCUGCUGCCCUAUUUUUUUCCUAAGGACCUGUAUGAUGAUAUUGGACCUACUUGGAUAACCCAGGGUCACCUGCCAUCUCAAGUUCCUUAAUUUUUAAAAUCUGACCUGACAAGUCCCAUUUGCCACCAGAGUUCACUUUGCCCGCCCCGUCCCUGUCCUGGUGGGACUGUGCUAAGAUGAAAAUAACAGCCUGUUCAGCAAGGACUACAAGAUUGCUGGAAACCCCAACAGUCCCUGGAAGCUGCCCCUUUCAGCCCUCCUUCCCUAAAGGAAAAGCUGUGCUGAGUAUAAUUUCGUUUUAAAGAGAAGUAAAAAGAGAGGAUGCUUUAAAUAAAGGAUAUGUGAACAGAAACACAUUUAUUACAAAAAAAAACCAAAAAACAAAUUCACAUUGUAUCGAGCUACAAUAUGGCAGCAGAUAAAAAAAAAAGAUAUUGUACACAGUU